AACGAACGCUGGCGGCGUGGAUAAGACAUGCAAGUCGAACGCUGAUUUCAGGGUAGCAAUAUUCUGGAGUCGGAGUGGCGCAAGGGUGCGUAACACGUGGGUAAUUUGCCAUGAAGCCCGGAAUAACUCGCUGAAAGGCGAGCUAAUACCGGAUGUGAUCUUCGGGAGGCAUCUCCUGAACCUUAAAGCUGGGGACCGUAAGGCCUGGCACUUCUUGAUAAGCCCGCGGCCUAUCAGCUAGUUGGUGAGGUAACGGCUCACCAAGGCUAAGACGGGUAGCUGGUCUGAGAGGACGACCAGUCACACUGGAACUGAGACACGGUCCAGACACCUACGGGUGGCAGCAGUCGAGAAUUUUUCNCAAUGGGCGAAAGCCUGAAGGAGCGACGCCGCGU
rnacentral:rRNA from 1 species